rnacentral:rRNA from 1 species
AAACCAAGAAAUUUAGUCAUUCUUUUAUGGUAAAAAGACAGUUAGGCUAAACUAAAAAAUCAUCAGACGUUUAAUAUAGGAGUAAAAUCUAAAUAUUAAAACCUAUUUCAAGUAUGGUUUUGUUAAAAUGUUGAAUCUGUGACAGCUUUAAGGGAAACUGGGAUUGGAUACCCCAUUAUUUUUAGUUGUAAAUUUAGCUCAAGCUUACCAGAGUACUACGAAUCAAAAAAUUUAAAACUCAAAGAGCUUGGCGGUGUUUUAGACCUCUCAGGGGAACCUGUCUCGUAAUCGACAAUCCACGUCAGACCUGACCCUUUAUAGUAAUACAGCUUGUAUACCGUCGUCGUCAGGUAACUUCUUAAAAUGUAUCAGUUAGCCCGACAAUCUCGUUAGUUAGAACGUCAGAUCAAGGUGCAGCUAAUAAAAGGGUGAGGAUGGGUUACAAUUACAAAUUUGUAAUUAUGGAAAGACACUUGAAAUUUAAUGUCUUAAAGGAGGACUUGAAAGUAAUUUUAAGUAUAUAAAUAAAAUGAAUAGGGCUCUGAAACGUG